AUUGCCCUAGUAACGGCGAGUGAAGCGGCAACAGCUCAAAUUUGAAAUCUGGCGUCUUUGGCGUCCGAGUUGUAAUUUGCAGAGGGCGCUUUGGCAUUGGCAGCGGUCCAAGUUCCUUGGAACAGGACGUCACAGAGGGUGAGAAUCCCGUACGUGGUCGCUAGCCUUUACCGUGUAAAGCCCCUUCGACGAGUCGAGUUGUUUGGGAAUGCAGCUCUAAAUGGGAGGUAAAUUUCUUCUAAAGCUAAAUACUGGCCAGAGACCGAUAGCGCACAAGUAGAGUGAUCGAAAGAUGAAAAGCACUUUGGAAAGAGAGUUAAAAAGCACGUGAAAUUGUUGAAAGGGAAGCGCUUGCAGCCAGACUUGCCUGUAGUUGCUCAUCCGGGUUUCUACCCGGUGCACUCUUCUAUAGGCAGGCCAGCAUCAGUUUGGGCGGUUGGAUAAAGGUCUCUGUCAUGUACCUCCUUUCGGGGAGAACUUAUAGGGGAGACGACAUGCAACCAGCCUGGACUGAGGUCCGCGCAUCUGCUAGGAUGCUGGCGUAAUGGCUGUAAGCGGCCCGUCUUGAAACACGGACCAAGGAGUCUAACAUCUAUGCGAGUGUUUGGGUGUCAAGCCCGAGCGCGUAAUGAAAGUGAACGGAGGUGGGAACCUUUCGGGGUGCACCAUCGACCGAUCCUGAUGUCUUCGGAUGGAUUUGAGUAAGAGCAUAGCUGUUGGGACCCGAAAGAUGGUGAACUAUGCUUGAAUAGGGUGAAGCCAGAGGAAACUCUGGUGGAGGCUCGCAGCGGUUCUGACGUGCAAAUCGAUCGUCAAAUUUGGGCAUAGGGGCGAAAGACUAAUCGA
rnacentral:rRNA from 1 species